rnacentral:rRNA from 1 species
UACAGAGGGUGCAAGCGUUAAUCGGAUUUACUGGGCGUAAAGCGUGCGUAGGCGGUUCAUUAAGUCGGUUGUGAAAUCCCUGGGCUUAACCUGGGAACUGCAGUCGAUACUGGUGGACUAGAGUACGGUAGAGGGUGGCGGAACUCCGGGUGUAGCGGUGAAAUGCGUAGAUAUCGAGAGGAACACCUGCGGCGAAGGCGGGUUGCUGGGCCGACACUGACGCUGAUGCGCGAAAGCCAGGGGAGCGAACGGG